UUUUCUUUUCUGCGGCUGCCUCGCUCUCUCUAAUCCCCCCUCCUCCCGCUCCCGCACCAAAGAGUUGCGCCGCCUUAUCCUUUCGCCGUCGCCGCCGGAGGAGAAAUGGCCCGGUCACCUGCUGCUCCUCCACUCCUUGAAGGUGAAGAACUCAUGGACAUUCCGGUAGAGAAGAGAGCAAGGAAAUCGAUGGUCGUAGUCCGUGACGCCAAUGGUGAAUAUUGCAGCGGAUGCGUGUUGAAAUCAAAGGGAAAGUACACUUACGUGUUGACCCAAUCGUCAUUUGCAUCAGGCAGAGAGGAUACCCUCAAGAUCUGUUUCUUUGAUCAGAUCGAACGGGAAGCCUCGGCUUUUGCUUCUGGGGAUACGUUCUGUCUCUUAGGACGAAAAGGCACACAGACUGCAGACCAAUCAAGAAGAUGCGUGGUCAGGUUAUGCCCGAACCUAUUGUCGUUUUUGCCCCUUCUUCAGCAACCUCUGCAUACCACAUCCCAGGCUUUGUCAUAUCAGAAUCAACCGCUGCACUCGACCUUCGACGCAACCAUAUCAAUGGUUCUGAGUGCUACUUCCUGGGAACGUGCCACUAUGCCGAGAAGGGUUUCAAUGGGCAUUGCAGAUUAGUGGGUUCUCCGGUCUUCAGCCUAAAAGGAAAAGUUAUGGGACUAAUCGCUGGGACUUGUGUGAAAGAGCUCAAUUUGUACCUUGGUGGCUAUGAGAUCAAGGUGGCACUGUUAACAUCUCAUAUGGAUGGUAUGCUGAAUGCGAUGCUGCCGAAGUCAGAUGCAGCCAAGAAGAAGAUUGCUUCAAGGAAGAAGGGAGGGAAGUUCCCAUAGGCAGCAACGCCCAUCCUAAGAAGGAGCAAAGCAAAUGUUACAAGUUCCCUUUUUUGUGGCUUGAGAAACAGCAGGCCAGCAGCAACAUUUUGGUGAUUUUCACCGCAGAUUAGUAGCAAUCAUAGGCUCAAGUAAGAUUUUUGGUGACCUUUACUGCUGAUUAGCACCAUUCAUAGACUCAAGUAAGUUCUUUUUUGGUGGUUUACUUGAGCAUCGGUAUUUUUGAGAAGCAGCAACAAUAGGCAUAGAUCAGAUCACUAUCAUGUGUAGUUCUGAGAUUGUCACUCCAACUUUCUUGUCGGCUCUAUCAUGAGCCAUGAAGUAUUUUCUUCCUAACAAAUAUGUUCUCUAAAUACAAGUAUUCAACUUAGUUCUAUUUAACUCUUGAAAGUGGAAUCU